UGUAAAUCAAUCAGCGGUUUUACCUCAGGGAAUUUGAUAAAAACAAUCUUUUUUAUUACCAAAUCAAAGUCAGAUCAGUCUUUUCAGAUUCUAGCGGUUCCACUUAUCACUUGCAAUUUCGUGGGCCAUUGAAAAAACCGCUCAUUAGGAACGUAUGAUCCCAUAAUACUCGUAUUUUUUUAUGAAAGCUGAGAUAAAGUUUUUUUUGUUCUUACCAGUAUAGUUUACGUACGUAAAGAUUUUUUUUCCUAUAAUAGAGGGAAAGCAAACCAUACAGUCAUCUUACGCGUUAGUACUUAUCCCUACUUUCAACUAAUUAUUAUUGAAAAUAUUUUUUUUAUAUUAUAUGAUUGAUAAAUAGCUGAGUAGCGAUUUUUCAAGGGUGAAAUGUUGAUUCACUGGAUAAAACCAUGCUGCAUAUCGAUUUAAAAAAUCGAUGUUUUCGAACUGAAAGAUCUAUUUUUCGAUUAUUCGAUCUUAGAUCGUCAUCCCUAUUCCCUAACAACCAGAUAUUUUAAAAUUUUUGAUUCUUGUUGGUUACUUCUUGUGUGAAAUGUUAUUUUGACGAAAUGAAGCGUUGGACUUGGCAAACUUACAAGCGUUAUACUUUAAUGUAGUAUUUAUAUAUAAUCAUAAUAUUGAGCUGUCGAUAAAAUAUUCUUUGAUAAUUUAAAAACCCAUGUCAUAUUCUACUUUGCAAGAAAACCCAGUGCAACAGCCAUCUAUAAUUCCAGAGUCGGUAAAG